rfam:Canis lupus familiaris chromosome 15, whole genome shotgun sequence.
GCCUGGCUGGCUCAGUUGGUAGAGCAUAUGACUCUUGAUCUCGGGGUUGUGAGUUCCAGCCCCAUGUUGGGUG